rnacentral:tRNA from 1 species
GGGCCGUUAGCUCAGCCUGGCUAGAGCACCUGACUUUUAAUCAGGGGGUCGCGAGUUCGAAUCUCGUACGGCCCG